rnacentral:piRNA from 1 species
UGUUGUUCAGUUUCCAC